GGUGUGGCUCAGCUUGGCUAGAGCACUUGAUUUGGGAUCAAGAGGUCGCAGGUUCAAAUCCUGUCAC
rnacentral:tRNA from 1 species